UAGGGAAUCUUCCAUAAUGGACGAAAGUCUGAUGGAGCAACGCCGCGUGAGUGAAGAAGGGUUUCGGCUCGUAAAACUCUGUUGUUAAAGAAGAACAUAUCUGAGAGUAACUGUUCAGGUAUUGACGGUAUUUAACCAGAAAGCCACGGCUAACUACGUGCAG
rnacentral:rRNA from 1 species